rnacentral:rRNA from 1 species
GAGUUUGAUCCUGGCUCAGAAUGAACGCUGGCGGCGUGCCUAACACAUGCAAGUCGCACGAGAAAGGUCUGGUGUAAGCUGGGCCGAGUAAAGUGGCGCACGGGUGAGUAACGCGUGGGUGACCUACCCCUGAGUCUGGGAUAACUUCGCGAAAGCGGGGCUAAUACCGGAUAGGCUCUACCAUUCGUUUGGUAGGGGAAAGCCGGCCUCUCGAAGAAGCUGGUGCUUGGGGAUGGGCCCGCGUCCUAUCAGCUAGUUGGUGGGGUAAGUGGCCCACCCAAGGCGACGACGGGUAGCUGGUCUGAGAGGAUGAUCAGCCACACUGGCACUGGAACACGGGCCAGACUCCUACGGGAGGCAGCAGUGAGGAAUUUUGCGCAAUGGCCGCAAGGCUGACGCAGCAACGCCGCGU